rnacentral:misc_RNA from 1 species
CAGGACUUAGACAGACUCAUACAACCCUGUGAACAUACCUAUAAGCACGUUGCUUCGGCGGGUAUCGAGACGGGUCCUCCCUACACGGGGCUCAGCCCGCCGGCAGGACCUACUAACUCUGUUCUUUAGAUGUUGUAUCUGAGUACAAUCAAAUAAAGUUA